UCAAUCGGGGGUUAGCAAAAAUGUUCCUCACUUUUUCUUGUUUGCUUUCUUCACUCGUUUCUUUUGCAGACUCUUUUUCUUUCUCACUCGAUUUUUUUUCAAACUCUCUUUCUUUUUCUUUUUCUUUUUCUUUUUCUUUUUCCACUCUUUCUUUUUCACUCUAAAUUUUUUUAAUUUUCUUUUCUUUUUCACAUUCAUUUUUUUUCUCAAUCUCUGUUUCUGUUUUGAUUUAUUGUUCUUUUUCUUUCAUUUUUCUUCUCGAUUUUUCUUUACAAGAUGAAGAAAAAAUAAAAGAAUCGGAAUGAACUAUUUUUCGUCGAGUAUGAAUGGAAUGAUUUACAUAUGAUUCACAUUCACUCCUUCGUAAAUAAUCCUCCGUGGAUGAACGCCUUGAUGCUUUUGAAGAGAGAUAUCUUCUUUCUCG
rnacentral:lncRNA from 1 species